rnacentral:misc_RNA from 1 species
GAAAUGCGAUAAGUAAUGUGAAUUGCAGAAUUCAGUGAAUCAUCGAAUCUUUGAACGCACCUUGCGCUCCUUGGUAUUCCGAGGAGCAUGCCUGUUUGAGUGUCAUGGAAUUCUCAACUCUAUUUGCUUUUGUGAAUAGAGCUUGGAUUUGGAGGUUUAUUGCUGGUACUUGUGAUCGGCUCCUCUUGAAUGUAUUAGCUCGAACCUUUGCGGAUCAGCUAUCGGUGUGAUAAUUGUCUACGCCGUUGCAGUGAAGCAUAUCAAUGGGCUCGGCUUCCAAUCGUCCUUUACUGGACAAUGACUUUGACCUUUGACCUCAAAUCAGGUAGGAUUACCCGCUGAACUUAAGC